rnacentral:lncRNA from 1 species
UUUAUAAGACUAAAUUAGGUAUGUAAUUUUAUCGUUUUCUCUCUGUAUUAUACACAAACAUCCACACAAACACACAUACUUUAACUGUGUAGUAGGAUUUUUUUAACGUUACUUUUGUUUAUUUUACGAUUUUGACACAAUGGGCGUCCUUAAAUCGUUUCACGGUGUUUUGUUUAAUAGCGUAUAUGUAUAAAACACGAUAUAUAAGCAGUUCUGAUCAUGUACAUGAUGUAUUUAUAAGAGAGAUAGAAUGUGUAUAAGCCAAUUGGAAUCAUUAAUUAAAAGCAUUGUCAGCGGAAUCAUUUGUACAAUUUGUGACAGAACUUUAUAAAACUUAUACAGUAGGUUAUAUUAUUAAUAUCUAAUACGAGUGCGGAAAGCAAUGCCAAUCGAAAAUUUUGUAUAGACGUGUUACGAAAUUGUAUCUACUCGACGCUUAGGUUGACAAAUAAGACUUUAAAUGUCGGUAUCGGAUCAAAGCACACAAGUUAUUUAAAUAUUUUAAUUACCUGUGAAUCAUGGUGUUAAACUGCAUAGUAAUGAUAAAAAGAAAACAAACAAAAAUACUGAACUCAGAAGAAAAUUUAAUCGGAAAGUCCAUUAUAACAUGGCAAAAUCAAAAGACAAAACAGAUCAAUAACGAAUGGACAAGAACUGUCAUGUCCGCUUAUAUUUACUUCAAUAACACACGUCUUUUUAAAAACUUUAUCAUAGCUAAUUUCCUGUUGAAUAUUCCUUAAGGAACAAAUAUGAUAUCAUAAUUAUUCCGUGAAGAAUGAAUGAUAUAGCCCGUUUAACUUUGGAAAUACAUUUCCUUGGAUUGUUUCUUUUGUUGACUAGUAUAUACUAAUCUGUGUGAUACCUACUAAGAAAAAGAUUGAUUUCCUUUAUAUUAUUUUCAUGUAAAAUGUGACCGGUUUGACCCAACAACAUCUUAUAUAUAUUCCUGCAAAGUUUCAAAAUAUUCCGUUUUGUAAUUUUCUGAAGUACGAGUUAUGCCCCUUGGAAAAAAAAUUGUAUAACGGAAAUUGCCUUACAUUUGCUUUGAAGCGUUCAUUUCUUUAAGAUUAUUAUACAAAGUUUUUACAAGGACGAUAACCGAAAAAAAAAUUUUUGUAAUUAUCCUUGUUCCUCAACAGAUUAAAAAAAAAAACGCGGAACGCGGUAGACUUUUGUCAUUUUCUUUUUCUUUCUUUUUUAAAAAUUUCAUGUUGUAUUUAUACCAUUCAUACUCUUUAAAUAAAGUUUAACAACAUUUUAUGUGUAUUAGAAUUACAAAAACUAUAUGUGAAAAACUUCUAAAUUUUAUAGUCGAAGUGUGUCGAGUAGUUUUUGGGGAGUACAGUUUCAAGUUAAACAUAUGUGUUUCUAACCUGAUGUGGAUCGUAUACUUAUUAAAUUAUAAAAACGACAAGUAUGCGGUGAUUGGAAAGAUGAUUGUUGCCGCAGUGAAUUACUCAUUAUCGAGCACAAAUAUUUACGAAAACUGGUAUUUGCUGUUAGUUCGCUAAGCAUGCUGCAAAAGUAGAGUUAUUGACUCGGUGGUCAGAAGCUUUAGUAGGCCAACACGUCUUAUGUUAUGUAUGUGAUUUUCUGAACAUUAAGCCUGUAAAAAUAAUGAUAUUGAAUUUAAAUGAAACUUGAACUUUAAUAUUAGUAUUAAAGGCCUUAAAGAUAAAUUAAAUUAUAAUCAAUAAAGUAUGCGAGACAUUUCAGCAUAUAUUAGAGUAUUCAUGUAAGUACAUACAAUCUAUUGCAGGAUUAUGGCCACUAAUUGGGGUAUUUGUGGUAUUUGUGAAAACCUUCAGAUUAUCAAACCUUCAGUAGUAUGGUGUUCCGAAUGUGACGAAGGACUAUGUGAAGAGUGUAAGAAACAUCACGCAGUGUCCAAGGCAUCAAAAAACCAUGAAACCGUUUCUAUCGCCAAAUACAAAAACUUACCCACCGAAGUCCUGCAAAUAUCUCAGACCUGCAAACUUCAUAAUGAGAAAUACGAGCUGUUUUGUGCAAAACACGAUUGUCCUUGCUGUAAGAAAUGUGUGAAAUCUCACAACGAUUGUAAAGGUUUAACUGACAUAAAUGAACUCAUAAGAAACGUAAAAACUUCAAACGCAUUUUAUGAAAUCGAACAAACCCUGCAGGAAGUCGUCGAGAAUAUAAAACGACUAAGAACAAACAGGAAUGAAAAUUUAAAAUCUAUAGAAAACAAGAAAAGAGAAAUUGAAGCAGCAAUAAAACAAACCAG